rnacentral:rRNA from 1 species
UACGUAGGGGGCGAGCGUUGUCCGGAUUUAUUGGGCGUAAAGGGCGUGUAGGCGGCCCGUUAAGUCGGCGGUGAAAGUCCAGGGCUCAACCCUGGGUCGGCCGCCGAAACUGGAGGGCUUGAGUGCUCUAGAGGGCAGUGGAAUUCCCGGUGUAGCAGUGAAAUGCGUAGAGAUCGGGAGGAACACCAGUGGCGAAGGCGACUGCCUGGGGAGUAACUGACGCUGAGGCGCGAAAGCUAGGGGAGCGAACAGG